rnacentral:rRNA from 1 species
AUUGAACGCUGGCGGCAGGCCUAACACAUGCAAGUCGAACGAGUGGCGGACGGGUGAGACAUGUCUGGACAACUGCCUGAUGGAGGGGGAUAACUACUGGAAACGGUGGCUAAUACCGCAUACCAUCAGAUGUGCCGAGAUGGGAUUAGCUAGUUGGUGGGGUAACGGCGCACCACGGCGACGAUCCCUAGCUGGUCUGAGAGGAUGACAGGCCACACGGGAACGGAGAUACGGUCCAGACGCCUACGGGAGGCAGCAGGGGGGAAGAUUGGGAAAUGGGCGAAAGCAUGAGACAGCCAUGCAGCGUGUAUGAAGAGGGCUUUCGGGUUGUAAAGUACUUUCAGCGGGGAGGCGGUAGCCGCAGAAGAAGCACCGGCUAACUCCGUGCCAGCAGCCGCGGUAAUUC